UGGCGCACGGGUGCGUACACGUGGGAACUACACCUAAGUACGGAAUACUCACCGAAAGGUGUGCUAAUACCGUAUAGUCCCUCCGGGGUAAGAUUAUCGCUUAGGAAUGGGCCCGCGCCUGAUUAGGUAGUUGGUAGGGUAAAAGCCUACCAAGCCUACGAUCAGUAGCUGGUCUGAGAGGAUGAUCAGCCACACUGGAACUGACACACGGUCCAGACUCCUACGGGAGGCAGCAGUGAGGAAUAUUGCGCAAUGGGGGAAACCCUGACGCAGCCAUGCCGCGUGAGUGAAGAAGGCCCUAGGGUUGUAAAGCUCUUUCAGAUGCGAAGAUAAUGACGGUAACAUCAGAAGAAGCUCCGGCUAAAUUCGUGCCAGCAGCCGCGGUAAAUACGAAUGGAGCGAGCGUUGUUCGGAAUCACUGGGCGUAAAGCGUGCGCAGGCGGAAAAUCAAGUCAGGAGUGAAAUCCCAGGGCUCAACCCUGGAACUGCUCUUGAAACUGAUUUUCUAGAGUCCGGUAGAGGUUAGCGGAAUUCCGAGUGUAGAGGUGAAAUUCGCAGAUAUUCGGAGGAACACCAGUAGCGUAGGCGGCUAACUGGACCGGAACUGACGCUCAGGCACGAAAGCGUGGGGAUCAUACAGGAUUAGAUACCCUGGUAAUCCACGCCGUAAACGAUGUGUGCUAGCCGUCGGGGGCUCAGCCUUCGGUGGCACAGCUAACGCAUUAAGCACACCGCCUGGGGAGUACGGCCGCAAGGUUAAAACUCAAAGGAAUUGACGGGGACCCGCACAAGCGGUGGAGCAUGUUGUUUAAUUCGACGCAGCGCGAAGAACCUUACCACCCCUUGACAUCCUGGUCAGGGAUCGCAGAGAUGCUUUCCUUCGGUUCGGCCGGACCAGUGACAGGUGCUGCAUGGCUGUCGUCAGCUCGUGUCGUGAGAUGUUGGGUUAAGUCCCGCAACGAGCGCAACCCCUAUCGUAUGUUGCCAGCAGGUUAAGCUGGGCACUCGUGCGAUACUGCCGGUGAUAAGCCGGAGGAAGGCGGGGACGAGGUCAAGUCAUCAUGGCCCUUACGGGGUGGGCUACAAACGUGCUACAAUGGCUGCUACAGUGGGCAGCGAGGUCGCGAGGCCAAGCUAAUCUCCAAAAGCAGUCUCAGUUCGGAUUGUUCUCUGCAACUCGAGAGCAUGAAGUCGGAAUCGCUAGUAAUCGUGGAUCAGCAUGCCACGGUGAAUACGUUCCCGGGUCUUGUACACACCGCCCGUCAAGUGAUGGGAGUUGGUUUUACCCGAAGACGGUGCGCUAACCUUUGGG
rnacentral:rRNA from 1 species